UAAAAACAAAAAAUUAAUUACACCAAAAACAGAACAAAAGAUCAAGAACAAGAUCUAAACAUAACUUCUUAACUUGCUUGUAAUCAAAAUGUUUUCUUUUCUCCAGAUUUGAAGGGUAUGGAAUGCUUUUGAUGGCUUUUCAAACUUCAUAAUAAACUCAAGGCCAUUAAUAUGAAUCUCUCAAGAAACCCAUGUACCGAAGAUGAUGAAUCUUCCAUUGUUUUCUCUUUCUUCUGAGUUCCAUUUUACCAUGUCAGCUCCAUACCCUUCUCUCUCUUUUUCUUCUCUCUAAACUUUUUUCUUCUGCUUCUUCUCCUCUUCGUCCUCCUCCUCCUUCUUCUUCUUCUUUUUUUACCCUCUUUGGGUGGUAGCAGUAGUACUGUGUUUUGCCAUGGAUGCGUGCAUCAUGAAAAAGGGAACAAAAUUGGCCCUCCUAUCUUUCUCUCUAGUCUCUUUUACACUUUUUUUCUCUCAAAUGGCAGGGAAGCGAU
rnacentral:lncRNA from 1 species